rnacentral:rRNA from 1 species
GAUGAACGCUGGCGGCGUGCCUAAUACAUGCAAGUCGAGCGAACAGACGAGGAGCUUGCUCCUCUGACGUUAGCGGCGGACGGGUGAGUAACACGUGGAUAACCUACCUAUAAGACUGGGAUAACUUCGGGAAACCGGAGCUAAUACCGGAUAAUAUAUUGAACCGCAUGGUUCAAUAGUGAAAGACGGUUUUGCUGUCACUUAUAGAUGGAUCCGCGCCGCAUUAGCUAGUUGGUAAGGUAACGGCUUACCAAGGCAACGAUGCGUAGCCGACCUGAGAGGGUGAUCGGCCACACUGGAACUGAGACACGGUCCAGACUCCUACGGGAGGCAGCAGUAGGGAAUCUUCCGCAAUGGGCGAAAGCUUGACGGAGCAACGCCGCGUGAGUGAUGAAGGUCUUCGGAUCGUAAAACUCUGUUAUUAGGGAAGAACAAAUGUGUAAGUAACGAUGCACGUCUGGACGGUACCUAAGCAGAAAGCCACGGCUAACUACGU